rnacentral:rRNA from 1 species
AGAGUUUGAUCCUGGCUCAGAUUGAACGCUGGCGGCGUGCCUAACACAUGCAAGUCGAACGUGAAAUGGAGCAAUCCAGAGUAAGUGGCGUACGGGUGAGUAACACGUAGGUAAUCUACCUCGGUGUCUGGAAUAACCUGCCGAAAGGCGGGCUAAUACUGGAUAGAGCGAUGGAAUCCGUAAUUGGGUUUUUCGGGAAA